AUGAGCUUCAGGUAGAGGGAAGGACAGGGAAAAAAAAAAAACAAAGAAACAAAAUGUGGAGCCUGAUACGGUUUGGAUUUGUGGCCCUGCCCAAAUCUCAUGUCAAAUUAUAAUCCCCAAUGUUGGAAGAUGGGCCUGGCGGGAGGUGAUUGGAUCAUGGGGGCAAACUUCCCCCUUGCUGUUCUCGUGAUAGUGAGUGAGUUCUCGUGAGAUCUGGUUGUUUGAAAGUGUGCAGCACCUCCCCCUUCGUUCUCUUUUCCUCCCGCUCCAGUCACGUGGGACGUGUCUGCUUCCCCUCCGCCUUCCGCCAUGAUUGUAAGUUUCCUGAGGCCUCCCAACCAUGCUUCCUGUACAGCCUGUGGAACCCUCUGGAGGUCAGAAGUCCAAAAUCUGGGUGUCAGCAGAUCCACGCUCCCUUUGAAGACUGUAGGACAGACUCCUUCCUUGCUUCUUCUGGGUUGUCAGAGCUCAUGAGGGAGAGGAAGGGCAGGCUAUGAAUGGCAAGCAUGCAGUAAAUCCCAGUCUGGACUCAGUGACAAAGGAGUAAUAAAAAGAUUAUAGCUAUGUUACAGACUGUUUUGUGGUUUCACCCAACAAAAAGAAACCAAAAGGCCAGGCACGGUGGCUCACACCUGUCAUCUCAGCACUUUGAGAGGCUGAGGCGGGCAGAUCACUUGAGACGGGAGUUCCAGAACAGCCCGGCAACGUAGCAAGACCCUGUCUCUACAAAAAAUACAAAGCUUAACCAGGUGUGGUGGCGGGCACCUGUAGUCCUAGCUACUCUGGAGGCUGAGGUGGGAGAAUUACCUAAGCUUGAAGAGGUGGAGGCUGCAGUGAGCCAUGAUUGCACCACUGUACUGCAGCCUGGGUGACAGAGUGAGACCUCGUCUCAAA